GAUGAACGCUGGCGGCGUGCCUAAUACAUGCAAGUCGAGCGAACAGAUGAGGAGCUUGCUCCUCUGACGUUAGCGGCGGACGGGUGAGUAACACGUGGAUAACCUACCUAUAAGACUGGGAUAACUUCGGGAAACCGGAGCUAAUACCGGAUAAUAUAUUGAACCGCAUGGUUCAAUAGUGAAAGACGGUUUUGCUGUCACUUAUAGAUGGAUCCGCGCCGCAUUAGCUAGUUGGUAAGGUAACGGCUUACCAAGGCAACGAUGCGUAGCCGACCUGAGAGGGUGAUCGGCCACACUGGAACUGAGACUCGGUCCAGACUCCUACGGGAGGCAGCAGUAGGGAAUCUUCCGCAAUGGGCGAAAGCCUGACGGAGCAACGCCGCGUGAGUGAUGAAGGUCUUCGGAUCGUAAAACUCUGUUAUUAGGGAAGAACAAAUGUGUAAGUAACUAUGCACGUCUUGACGGUACCUAAUCAGAAAGCCACGGCUAACUACGUG
rnacentral:rRNA from 1 species